GUAGGGGGCAAGCGUUGUCCGGAUUUAUUGGGCGUAAAGAGCGUGUAGGCGGCCGCACAGGUCCGUUGUGAAAACUGGAGGCUUAACCUUCAGACGUCGAUGGAAACCGUGCGGCUAGAGUCCGGAAGAGGAGAAUGGAAUUCCUGGUGUAGCGGUGAAAUGCGCAGAUAUCAGGAAGAACACCCGUGGCUAAGGCGGUUCUCUAGUACGGUACUGACGCUGAGACGCGAAAGCGUGGGGAGCGAACAGGAUUAGAUACCCUGGUAGUCCACGCCGUAAACGAUGGGUGCUAGGUGUGGGGGGUGUCGACUCCCCCCGUGCCGAAGCUAACGCAUUAAGCACCCCGCCUGGGGAGUACGGCCGCAAGGCUA
rnacentral:rRNA from 1 species